rnacentral:rRNA from 1 species
CUACGGGGCGCUGCAGUUAGGAAUAUUCUGCAAUGCGCGCAAGCGUGACAGAUUGAACCAGAGUGCUUCUCAUCGAGAAGCUUUUGUGCACUGUAAAAAAGUGCAAGAAUAAGGACUGGGUAAGACUAGUGCCAGGCGCCGCGGUAAUACUAGCGGUCCAAGUCGCAGCCACAUUUAUUGGGUCUAAAACAUCCGUAGCUUGUUUAGUAAGUUUCUUGUGAAAUUCUAUAUCUUAAAAAUAGAGCUGGCAGGAAAUACUGCUAAACUAGAGACUGGGAGACGUAAGGAGUACGUUCGAAGUAGCGGUAAAAUGUUUUAAUCUCGGACGGACUACCAAUAGCGAAGGCGUCUUACGAGAACAGUUCUGACAGUGAGGGAUGAAGGCUAGGGGCGCAAAACGGAUUAGAUACCCUAGUAGUC